AUUUUCAGCAAUAUGGCAUCUCCCCAAAUAGUAAUGUGUCUGUUCCAAGUUAUUUUCAGCCUUAUAUCGUUGCCUCUCAUGGACCAUUCCGCAGCAAAUAUGGAGGGUUGAACUACUUUUUAAACACAUUAUUAUCUUUAAAUAUGGUGAUUGCAUUCCUGGUGGCGGUUAUCCUGGACAACACUGUACCUGGCAGUCGACAAGAGCGUGGAGUGUAUAUAUGGUCUGAAACAGAGGCAGCAAGGAGGGAACCUGCUGUUACCAAAGACUAUGAGUUGCCCUUCAGAGUUGGCAGAAUUUUCAGAUGGGUGAAAUGGGUUGGGCUUUGAGAGACCAAGGAAGACCAUCAUUGCGUUGUAGAGCUGCUCCUACUCAGAAGUGGAGGAUGAUUGUGCUGCCUUUUGAUUGUAGAUGCAAGUCUCUUGAGCUCAUUCGGUAAAUAGGAGGGGAGAGCAAAAUGAUUUUCUCACACGCCUGGGCCUUCUUGGGACUAUAGAAAUGAGGUAUUUGUGUACAUUAAAGGAUCCAUAGGGAUCUCAUUGUGUUGUAAUU
rnacentral:misc_RNA from 1 species